rnacentral:rRNA from 1 species
ACGGGGGGUGCAAGCGUUGUUCGGAAUUAUUGGGCGUAAAGCGCGUGUAGGCGGUUAAUCAAGUCUGAUGUGAAAUCCCAGGGCUCAACCUGGGAACUGCAAUGGAAACUGGUUGACUCGAGUGCGGGAGGGGGUCGCGGAAUUCCCGGUGUAGGGGUGAAAUCCGUAGAUAUCAGGAGGAACACCGGUGGCGAAGGCGGCGACCUGGACCAUUACUGACGCUGAUACGCGAAAGCGUGGGGAGCAAACAG